GGAGGUGGCGAGCGUUGUUCGGAUUUACUGGGCGUAAAGCGUGCGUAGGUGGUUUUGUGGUGUCGGAUGUGAAAGCCCACGGGCUCAACCGUGGAACUGCAUUCGAAACUGCAGAACUAGAGUGCAGGAGGGGAGAGCGGAAUUCUUGGUGUAGCGGUGAAAUGCGUUGAUAUCAAGAAGAACACCGGUGGCGAAGGCGGCUCUCUGGAAUGUUACUGACACUGAGGCACGAAAGCUGGGGGAGCGGACAGGAUUAGAUACCCUGGUAGUCCCAGCCGUAAACGGUGCACACUUGGUGUGGGGAGAUUUAACCCUCUCCGUGCCGUAGCUAACGCGUUAAGUGUGCCGCCUGGGGAGUACGGCCGCAAGGCUA
rnacentral:rRNA from 1 species